rnacentral:rRNA from 1 species
GACGAACGCUGGCGGCGUGCUUAACACAUGCAAGUCGAACGGAAAGGCCCUGCUUUUGUGGGGUGCUCGAGUGGCGAACGGGUGAGUAACACGUGAGUAACCUGCCCUUGACUUUGGGAUAACUUCAGGAAACUGGGGCUAAUACCGGAUAGGAGCUCCUGCUGCAUGGUGGGGGUUGGAACGUUUCGGCGGCUGGGGAUGGACUCGCGGCUUAUCAGCUUGUUGGUGGGGUAGUGGCUUACCAAGGCUUUGACGGGUAGCCGGCCUGAGAGGGUGACCGGCCACAUUGGGACUGAGAUACGGCCCAGACUCCUACGGGAGGCAGCAGUGGGGAAUAUUGCACAAUGGGCGGAAGCCUGAUGCAGCAACGCCGCGUGCGGGAUGACGGCCUUCGGGUUGUAAACCGCUUGCGCCUGUGACGAAGCGUGAGUGACGGUAAUGGGUAAAGAAGCACCGGCUAACUACGUG